GACGUAGGGCGCGAGCGUUGUCCGGAUUUAUUGGGCGUAAAGAGCUCGUAGGCGGCUUGUCACGUCGGUUGUGAAAGCCCGGGGCUUAACCCCGGGUCUGCAGUCGAUACGGGCAGGCUAGAGUGUGGUAGGGGAGAUCGGAAUUCCUGGUGUAGCGGUGAAAUGCGCAGAUAUCAGGAGGAACACCGGUGGCGAAGGCGGAUCUCUGGGCCAUUACUGACGCUGAGGAGCGAAAGCGUGGGGAGCAAACGGG
rnacentral:rRNA from 1 species